rnacentral:rRNA from 1 species
AUUUAAGGUUUAAUCUGCCCACUGAGUAAUUUAAUGGCCGCAGUAAUUUGACUGUGCAAAGGUAGCAUAAUCAUUAGUUUUUUAAUUAAAAGCUUGAAUGAAUGAUUGGACGAAAUAAAGUCUGUCUUUAUAUUAAAUAUAGAACUUAAUUUUUAAGUAAAAAAGCUUAAAUAUUAGUAAAAGACGAGAAGACCCUAUAGAUCUUUAUACAAUAUAGUUUAUUUUUAAUUAAGAUUAUUUAAUGAAUUAGAUUUUAUUGUAUUUUAUUGGGGUAAUAAAAAGAUUAAUUAAAUUCUUUAUUUAUUUUACAAAAAUUCUUGAAUUAAUGAUCCUUUAUUAUGGAUUUAAGAUUAAGUUACCUUAGGGAUAACAGCGUAAUUUUUUUAGAGAGUUCUUAUCGAUAAAAAAGUUUGCGACCUCGAUGUUGGAUUAAAAAUUAAUUUUAGGUGUAGUAGUUUAAAAUUUUGGUCUGUUCGACCAUUGAAUUUUU